GACGAACGCUGGCGGCGUGCUUAACACAUGCAAGUCGAACGGAAAGGCCCGGCGUUUGUGGGGUGCUCGAGUGGCGAAGGGGUGAGUAACACGUGAGUAACAUGCCCUUGACUUUGGGAGAACUUCAGGAAACUGGGGCUAAUACAGGAGAGGAGCUCCUGCUGCAUGGGGGGGGUUGGAAAGUUUCGGCGGUUGGGGAUGGACUCGCGGCUUAUCAGCUUGUUGGUGGGGUAGGGGCUUACCAAGGCUUUGACGGGUAGCCGGCCUUAGAGGGGGGCCGGCCUCAAUACGCCUACGGUACGGCCCAGUCUCCUACCGGACGCAGCAGUGGGGAAUAUUGCACAAUGGGCCCGAGCCUGAUGCAGCAACGCCGCGUGCGGGAUGACGGCCUUCGGGUUGUAAACCGCUUUCGCCUGUAACGAAGCGUGAGUGACGGUAAUUGGUCAAGAAGCACCGGCUAACUACGUG
rnacentral:rRNA from 1 species